rnacentral:rRNA from 1 species
UACGUAGGUGGCAAGCGUUGUCCGGAUUUAUUGGGUUUAAAGGGUGCGUAGGCGGCCAAGUAAGUCAGUAGUGAAAUAUCUCAGCUCAACUGAGAGGGUGCUAUUGAUACUGCAGGGCUUGAGUACAGAUGAGGUAGGCGGAAUUGACGGUGUAGCGGUGAAAUGCAUAGAUAUCGUCAAGAACACCGAUAGCGAAGGCAGCUUACUAAGUUGUAACUGACGCUGAGGCACGAAAGUGUGGGGAUCAAACAGGAUUAGAAACCCCAGUAGUCC